rnacentral:rRNA from 1 species
UGCAAGUCGAGCGGACUUGAUGAGGAGCUUGCUUCUCUGAUAGUUAGCGGCGGACGGGUGAGUAACACGUAGGCAACCUGCCCUCAAGACUGGGAUAACUACCGGAAACGGUAGCUAAUACCGGAUAAUUAAAUUCGCUGCAUGGCGGAGUUAUGAAAGGCGGAGCAAUCUGUCACUUGAGGAUGGGCCUGCGGCGCAUUAGCUAGUUGGUGAGGUAACGGCUCACCAAGGCGACGAUGCGUAGCCGACCUGAGAGGGUGAACGGCCACACUGGGACUGAGACACGGCCCAGACUCCUACGGGAGGCAGCAGUAGGGAAUCUUCCGCAAUGGGCGAAAGCCUGACGGAGCAACGCCGCGUGAGUGAUGAAGGUUUUCGGAUCGUAAAGCUCUGUUGCCAGGGAAGAACGUCUCAUAGAGUAACUGCUAUGAGAGUGACGGUACCUGAGAAGAAAGCCCCGGCUAACUACGUGCCAGCAGC